rnacentral:misc_RNA from 1 species
GAUGAAGAACGUAGCGAAAUGCGAUACUUGGUGUGAAUUGCAGAAUUCAGUGAAUCAUCGAAUCUUUGAACGCACAUUGCGCCCGCUAGUAUUCUGGCGGGCAUGCCUGUCCGAGCGUCAUUUCAACCCUCAAGCCCCCGGGCUUGGUGUUGGGGAUCGGCGAGCCUCCGCGCCCGCCGUCCCCUAAAUCUAGUGGCGGUCUCGCUGUAGCUUCCUCUGCGUAGUAGCACACCUCGCACUGGGAAACAGCGCGGCCACGCCGUUAAACCCCCAACUUCUGAACGUUUGACCUCGGAUCAGGUAGGAAUACCCGCUGAACUUAAGCAUAUCAAUAAGCGGAGGA